rnacentral:misc_RNA from 1 species
CACACACACACACACACACAUAUGAUGUGUCAAAAGAGUUUGGUCGGUCUCCACAUGAAGUCCAAAACAUCAAGCUCUCAUAUUUAUCAAGGAUAAUGCUGAAGUUAUUAAGCAGUUCAUAUCACAAGCUGGCUUAUCUUUAACCUCUUUGACAUGGAAAGAAAUCCAACAAUAAUGAGAAUAGAACAUUUUGAGCAUGCAUUGAUGUGGUGGAAGGGGUGGGGGGAGGACUUAAAUAUGAUGACUGGAAUCUUAGACAACAUGUGUAUAAUCAGAUGCCAUGAUGAGGAAAUAUAUCCUUACUAAUAUAUCUUGGCCUAUCCAGGCAAAGGAGACAUUGCGAUAGA